UGCGGCGUGCCUAAUACAUGCAAGUCGAGCGGACGAUUCAAAAGCUUGCUUUUGAAUCGUUAGCGGCGGACGGGUGAGUAACACGUGGGCAACCUGCCCUGUAGACGGGGAUAACACCGAGAAAUCGGUGCUAAUACCGGAUAACACGAGAGACCGCAUGGUUUUUCGUUGAAAGGCGGCGCAAGCUGUCGCUACAGGAUGGGCCCGCGGCGCAUUAGCUAGUUGGUGAGGUAACGGCUCACCAAGGCGACGAUGCGUAGCCGACCUGAGAGGGUGAUCGACCACACUGGGACUGAGACACGGCCCAGACUCCUACGGGAGGCAGCAGUAGGGAAUCUUCCGCAAUGGACGAAAGUCUGACGGAGCAACGCCGCGUGAGCGAAGAAGGCCUUCGGGUCGUAAAGCUCUGUUGUUAGGGAAGAACAAGUACCGCAGUCACUGGCGGUACCUUGACGGUACCUAACGAGAAAGCCACGGCUAACUACGUGCCAGCAGCCGCGGUAAUACGUAGGUGGCAAGCGUUGUCCGGAAUUAUUGGGCGUAAAGCGCGCGCAGGCGGUUCCUUAAGUCUGAUGUGAAAGCCCACGGCUCAACCGUGGAGGGUCAUUGGAAACUGGGGGACUUGAGUGCAGAAGAGGAGAGCGGAAUUCCACGUGUAGCGGUGAAAUGCGUAGAGAUGUGGAGGAACACCCAGUGGCGAAGGCGGCUCUCUGGUUCUGUAACUGACGCUGAGGCG
rnacentral:rRNA from 1 species